UUUUUUUCCCUGUCUUUUCUUCUACAAAUAGUGAAAGCUUGGUCGUGAAGAUAAUACAGGACCAGGGAUGUCUUUUAUCUGAGCCUCCUAGUGCAGAUCCUGCUGAGUUUCAUCCAUCCGUUUCCUAACUGCUGUAUCCACUGAGGAGUCACAGGGGACCCGGAACCUAUCUCAGUAAGCAAUGGGCACAGGGCAGGAUAAACCCUGGACAAGAUGCCAGUCCAUCACAGGGCACACAGCAGGGUCCAUUUUCCCAGAAGCUAAUUCACCUGCAGGUAUAUCUCUGGGCUGUGGGAGGAAAGCCUCUCAAACAUCGAAACAUUGCAGCAAAGGUAACCACUGUACCACCAUGCAGCUCUCGCAGUGUGUCACGUUUGCAGCGAAGGGUUUGGGAACAGACACAUGCCCAACCUUGUGCCAGGAGGGGGCAAGAUGGGAGCUUCGUGUCUGCACAUGCAUUCCCCGUGUAAUUCAUUCAGUGUCAACACAGGACAGCUUUCACACACACAGAAUGAGGUAACCUGCGAUGAGUGACUCGGUUGCAGCCAGUGUUAUGGAACAGCUAUGCUGGAUCCUGUGCUCUGAUUGGACGGUUCGUUGCUGCUAAGUUCAGCCAGGCUGCAGGUGGCAGGGAGGUCAAGGUCAGCAGUAUCCCAGAGAGCCCUCACUCACGGGUGCUCCAGCGAAAACACAGAGAGACGGACUCUACUGCUGCCAAAGAGGAAAAUACGAAUCUGGCCCGCACAGCUUUGUCUGCCAGGCAUACCCGUUAUUCGCAUGAUUAAGAUUUAACAGCCUCUCCGCUUGAGGAAGUGGUUGCUAAAAAUUAAUUUACAUUUUACCCCCUUGUGAGAGGGUAGUAGGGUCAUGCGAGCAACGGAGAGUGACCUGCCAUCCUCAGUCAACUGACCAACUAGAGACCUGACCGGACGGAGACUUCUGUCUGAGCCUGUUGCCCUCUUGCUCCCCCAUGUAACACAACCUGGUAAUAACCCAACGUCUGGCCACUGCCCCUUGUGUUUAACUGUUUCACUCUGAAUGUUCUGGAAAUUGUUGAAGAGAAAUCACAUCCGCAAGAUUUGGAUGCCGAUGCCGUUAUCAGAAAUCUAAAAGCUGCUUUGAGGGUUUGUGCUUAAAGCUCUCUUUGUGAACAGCGCCAUCCACUCCAGAAUCCCUUUGCUCACUUGACCUGUGAGACCAGUUCACACUCACCUCAAGCAGGACUGAUACAAUGUCAAUAUUACAUCGCUUGAAGUGUUGACUUCGAAUACAGCUAGAACUAUUUACCCCUUGUGUCUGGCUUUUGACAAAGGCAUUUUACUUUGCCUGUGACUGCACAUUCUCAAGCAGUUUUUCCUGGUGCAGCGUCACAUGGAACAACUGAGAAAGACACUCAGUCUUCCUCUAUCUCCUUUCCUCACUUUUUAAUGACUAAAUUCUCGUUUUUUACAACUGUAUUAUGACCGUUACUCUUAGAAAG
rnacentral:lncRNA from 1 species